rnacentral:lncRNA from 1 species
GAAAACAUUAUAUUAUACAUAAGGGUUAAAAUGGUUUGCCGAUAACAUAUUCAAGUACUACGGAUUACAAUCCACUAAGAAGAUUCAAGUACCAAAACAGGAAGUUUAUUAAAAUCCACAUAUAUUCCAUACGGCUCGAUCCCUCGGCUUUCCCCGAACUUGGUUCAACUUUGCUCCUCGGAUUCGGAUCAUGCGUUACCUACACCAAGAUACCAUCUAUAUGAGCCUUUAAAAAGACUCAGUAAGAAUCCGAAAGUAAUAACAAGGUUUUGAAAAAGUCUUUACACAUAAUUUAUAUAUAUACACACACACACAUAUAUAUAUAUAUAUAGGCAUACACGAACACAUAAUAAACUUACUAUCAUUCAAACUUACACUUACUAUACCUUACCUUUACCUUUCAUUUAAACCUUUCAAGGAUACUUAACAUCCUUUCAUAUUCUUUUUAAAGUCGGGUACUUAACACCCUUCUUUUCUUUACUUUAAUAUGCAAAAGUCGGGUACUUAUAAGAACCCUUCUUUUUUUUACUUUAAUAUGCAAUAUGCAUGCAAAAUGAGACUUAAGACUUUUAAAACUUUUCAUGAUAAAACGUUGGGCCCGUUUGGAAAAACAAUCGUGGAGUUCGGCAAUAAGCCGUGUGUUUUGGAGCUUGUGAUCUAUAACUUUACUAUAGUCACGACUAUAACUUUACUAUAGCCGAGUUAGUGGUUUAUAAUCCCGAUUCCUAUGUGAAUCAGUCCCUAUGUGGACAGGCCCCUAUGUGGACCCCAACUAUCAACCACUAACCGGAAUAUAGUCACGGCUAUAACUUUACUAUAGCCGAGUUAGUGGUUUAUAAUCCCGAUUCCUAUGUGAAUCAGUCCCUAUGUGGACCCCAACUAUGAACCACUAACGGAAUACCAGCCCCCCGUAUCCCAUACUUAUUCACCUAGAUCCACAACCAAUUUCCAAACAUUUUUAACUUUGAAAAGUCAUGAUUUAUGCAUCUUAGAGUUACUAAUGAAUCAUAUGAUGCUUACAUGAUCUAUCUAUGUUACUUUCACAUAAACAAGCAUAAAGGUAACAAGCACCACAACAAUUAUAUUUCACAUCCUUAAUCAAAUCAUUGGACACAUAAUCAUAUAGAACAUAGCACUUUUACUUUCACAUUUAAUUUCAUAAGCACACAUAAACAUUUAAUAUCACAUAGCAGCACCAAGAAGGGCAUUCUUCAACUUUAACCAUAUUAUAAUCACAUAAUCAUAUAACCAUGUCAUUCAUAGCAUAUCAAUAUCACUCAUAUCAUGAAUUAUGAAAAUUAUCACAUACGACAUUACUUUACUCUAAUCACUUAAUACAUACACCAUUAUUUCAAAAGUGCCACACAUAAUAACAAAUAAUAUACGAAAUCAAUCAAGUAUUCUAACUUAUCAUAGAAAUCAAUUAAUCAUUUUUCUAAAUAUGGUACUUGCUCCUUAACACCAUUUCUAGGCUAGUAGAUUGUAAUACUUUCUUAGGACAUGCAACAAGAUACCUAAACUUAGAUUAUUAGGACAUAACUUAGAGGUUUCACCUUCAUCACUAACUUAUCUUUCCUACCUCGGAUAUUAGAACCAUGAUCACAAAUCAUACUUUGAUAAAAAUAGUCAUCUUAAGAAAAUCAAACAGUUUUGGUAUCCUAACUUCGAAAAAUCAUUUCUCUUGAACCACAAAUCAACAGCCUUUGAAACUUUUACAACAUACUCCUUUAUAUGUCUUUAAAACCAGUGAGAAACAGUUUACAAAAAUCAUCAUCGGAGUAAAAGAUAUAAAUAAAUUUCUAAGGUGGUACAGUUUUGAAAUCUGAACAGAGGGAGUUACUUUAAAAAUGCAUUUUGCUUUAUGGAUUCAUCCAAACCUUUUGAAAUUUUAACUUCAUAUACUAUUAGGAGUCUUAUAUACCCCAGAAAAACAGUUUUAGAAAAUCCUUAGAAAAUUAGGAUAAAUAAGUAAAAUGGUACAGCUGUGCAGUUCAAAACUCAGAACAGGGGAGGGGACUUCAAAACUUUCUUACAAUUAUCUACUGUAUAAAGCACUGCCAAAUAUUAUCGCAAAUGAGUUCUCUAAGUUGGGGUUCUAUUAAAAGUGGAAUCACUAAAUUUCAAAGAGGAAAACAUUAGAUUUCAUUACGUUUUCUAAACUGACUCUGGUUCUGUAUAGUUUCGGUAAAUAAAUCAUAACUUAUUCAUUUAUACUCCAAAAAUUACAAGCCACAUAUGAAUAUGAACAUAACAGAGAGAUCUAUCCUCAUAUAAAAUUUCGUAGUUUUCAGAAAUAAACUCGUGGGUGAAACAUGAGUUAAAAUCCGUACCUAUGAAUCUGAAAAUUUUACACAUAACCAUCUAUUUCGAGAUUCUAGAUUCAAUCAACUAUAUGCCUCAAAUUCCAACCUUAAGCAUGUAAAAUUACAACUACAACAUCAAUAAUAUUAACAUGCAAUGCUUAGAAACAUAAGAAUAAUUAAUUUCAUAGCAUCUCAUCAUCAAAUUUCGGGUUUCUCACCAAUCUUCUAUUUUCUUUCAAGAAUCAAUAAUCAAGAGCUAGAUUCUCACAUGCAAGGCUUUAAACAUGAAAUUAAACAUAUCAAAACAUCAUCAUCAUUUUUCUCAUCAAAGAUCAAGGAUUCAAGCAUGGAUCUUAACAUGCAUGAGACUGAACAUAUAACAUAUUAUGAGCAUUUUCUUUCAUAAAACUUUCGAUUUCUUCAAACAAUCAAGAAGGGGAGUUUUUCAAAAGAGAAGAGAAGGAAAUACUAUUGAUGUUAGCUUGAUGUAGCAAGAAUUCCAUGAUUCUUACCUUAUGAUCUUUUCAAAAUUUGAAGAACUUUGUGGAUAUUUGCAACCCACUAGAGAAUCCUUCAAGAAAUUCAAAAAUUAGAGAAAGCUCUUAGGGGAUUUUUGAAAAUUGAAGAAAGAAACAAAGAACAAGAGUUUUCUUACACGUCUUUAUGAAGAACCUCUUUUAUUGAAAUGAAAAGAGUUCUUGAACUUUACCUCACUACAAAUUUCGAAAUUAAGGAAGAAGAAAUGAAGAGAUUUGAUGGGGAAGGCUUGAAUUAGAAGAAGAGAUUUCUUCUUCUACUUGGGCUAUUUUGAUCGAUGGAGAGGGGGAAGGAAAAGGGGACUUAGCUGAUUUUUGGUGUGAGGAAAUGAAGAGGAGAGGGUGGUAUUUAUAGAAUUGAAGAGGCUUGUAUUCCUAAUGAGUAAGUAUGAAGAGGGGUCUUUUUGCAAUUAGGAGUAACUUGAAAUAAUCUAGAGGGACUUCUAGGCAAUUUCAUUUAAGUUAUCUUAAAAAUAAUGCUAAAUGAAAAGCCAACUGGAAAUGCACAUGGAAUAAGUGUAUGCAUGCAACACAUACAAUCAUAGCCAAUUUAAAGAGAGGAAAUUACUAUCAAUUAAGCAUAUAAACCUUCUAGUGUGAGAAAAUAAAUUCUUAUAUUACUAAAAGUAAAUUCACGUAGAUCACAUAAUUUCACGUGUUCAAUUAUAUUAAACUCAUGAAAUACAUUUUAGUUGCGCAAAUAGAGAAUAAAAUAAAAAAAAUAUUCAUGUAGACAUAUAAUGCACAUUAGUUCACAUAAAUAACAAAUAUAGCAAAUUGAAAAGCAAUUAAUUAAAUUCGCACAUACAACACAUAUUCAUGCUAAGGAGACGAGAGGGAAAAUACGGAAACCGGGUAUCGGAAACGUGGGGUGUUACAAUAUAUAUAUAUAUAUAUAUAUAUAUAUAUAUAUCAACUCACGAAUUAAAUUACUAUAUAUAUUUAACUAAAUUUUAAUUACAACUUAAAAAAUUAAGCAAACAAUGUCUUGAAAUUGGUCCGUUUCUUCAACCCACGCACUAUAAAAUAACUCAACUAAUACAAAAUGAAAAAUAAUACAUUCGAAUUUUUACAUAUUAGAAUAAAAAAAAUACAUAUACUAAAACAUAUUAGAACAUACCUUCAUAUUUUUACUUUUACGUUUUGCAAAAAAAAGAAGAAGAAAAUCAUACUAAAUUAGUACAAUAUUUCACAAAAAAAUUAAAAAACGAAAAUUAAAAAACUAUACACAUAGAUGUAUUAUGAUUUUGUUUUGAAGAACUGAAAAUAUAUAAAUAAACAGAUUAAGUUAAUAUAACAAUAUAAUAACAACCACAUGUGUUUAAAAAAUUAAACAUAGUUAUUUUUUUUUUUUUUUGCUAAGAACAUAAAAGAAAAAAAAAAGGCUGGAGACUAAC